rnacentral:scRNA from 1 species
GGAAACAGCACGAUUCAACUGGUGUGUAACAC